GACCCCUCCCUCCAACCUCACAGCUGGUUUCCACCAUGUUUCCAAGUCUGAUGAAGCCUCUACAAGUGUGAAAUCAGCCAUCAUGGAAAGCUUCAAACCAACUCUCUCAAAGAGGUGAAAACCGUGAAACCUGGAGAUAAUGUCACUCUGCCAUGUCAGGCUCAUAAUGCCUCCAUCAGAGCUGCAGAGUGGACCAGACCUGACCUGGAGCCACCAGAGUACGUCCUCUUUUACAGAGACGGACGCUCAGAACCAACCUACCAGCAUUCAUCGUUUAAGGACCGGGUGCAGCUGGUGGACAGAGAGCUGAAGGACGGAGAUGUGUCUUUAGUUUUGAAGAAUGUGAGCAGCAACGACGCUGGAACAUACGAGUGUCGAGUUGCAACAGGUGGAUCGAGACAUAAGAAAGCCAAUAUUAAGACUGAGCCAAUCAGAAUCUACCAGCUGGAGGUUUCAGGGUCCAACAGCGGAGACGUCGAGGAGGGAAACUACGGUCUUUACUACGGACUGACAGCAGCUUUUGUUCUGGUUUGUUUAGCUGCUGUUGGCUGGAAAUAUAAAAGGAGGAGCUGUGAGUGAGUGUAGAUGAUGUAUUAAUGUGAUAGUUUGGAGGUUUAUAGCUUCCAGUUUGCUCUUCUGUUAAUGUUGCGUUGUUUCUGUUAUGUGUAUACCUGCUAUGUAUACAGUUUAUUUUUGGGGAGUUUUAUUUCGUUAAUUGUGGGACUUUAGCUUUGACCUUGGACACUUUGGUAACUGUGGGGAGAAUUGAACAAAUAAAUGAAAUACAACA